ACCCAGAUGAUAUUGAAUAAGAACUUUAACUUGUUCAAAAUAUAAAAAAGAAAUUUAAUAGUCCAAACCAAUAUUAAAAGUACAACCAAAAAUCUAAUACAACCAACCGAUUCAAAAACAAAACAAUAAUGUAUAUAAUUAACUAAUUGAAAACCGAAGGAAAAUAGUCACUCCUGCUUGAUGCCUCCAUUGUAACACUUGAAAUCCC
rnacentral:lncRNA from 1 species